CCCGUCCAUUUAUAUUAAGUUUAGAAUUCAUUUUUAAUUUAGAAUAGGAUGAUUUACGCCGGAAAAAUGAAAAAAAAAAUGAUUUAUUGUAAUUCCAACAAUUUUUAUUUCAAAAACUUUUUAGAAAAUUUAGUCUUUUGAUUUUUGUGCAUUGCAUAAAUUGAAUUAUAUGAAUAGGUGAUUAUUCUAUAUGAUUAAUAUUUAUUUGUAUACGAUUUAAUUAAAGUUUAUGUUAGACUUUAAUUAUUUAAAUGUGUUGAGCUUUGACAAAUAUUUAUUUGGGCAUUAGUUUUUGUUUAUUGAAAUGAUUUUCCAUAAAUACCAAAGCCCAAAAGCCCAAACCAACCUCCUCCUUUGCACCACAGCCAAGUACAGCACGCAGCUGCUGCUUGUGUUUCACCAUGCCUCUACAAUUGCUACACUAUUCACCCCCAUGCGCCCACUCCUACAAAGUCAUACAAAAUCCCUUAAUCAUAGGGAUUUUGGUUAAUAUUUUCAAACAUCUCUCACGUCUCACCUUCCUCUUUUCAACCUACACCAUCCCUUGUCAAUCUAAUCAACUCCAAAAGUCAAGCUUUAGCCAUGCUUGGCGGCCACCAACUCCCCUAAUUUCAGCCUCAAAUAUCUCUGCAUAAUUGAAGGAAACCCAUCCCUUGCACUUUCACUAGCAACUCAAAUAUCCUUUAAAUUACUCUCUCGUUCCAGCCUAUCCAUGAAGUUUCAAGUAUACAACAAGAGACCACCAUUCAAAGAACUCUUCCCCUACACAGACAUCACAAGGCUUUGUGACCAGGGGGAUUAGCGCUGCUUUCCCAAGACAGGUUUUUAUGUGUAUGAUCUUCAGGCUUUGCCUAUCCAGGUUGAGCAGCUGAUGGAAUGGAAUGGUGUUGAGCGGGUGUUCCUUUGAUCGUUUCAAGAAAUGUAACCUUGAGUAUACAUCUUCAUAUGUAUAUCUCACACGUUUUCCGCUGCAAAAUACUUUGAUUAGGAUAGCUCUAUGUUAUGAAGUUGGGAUACGUGUUAUUGGGUAACCCACCUUAAUCAGUUCUCAUUUAUGUGUAUGUUUUAUAAGUAUCCAAAUAAUCAUAUAUGAUCCUAGCAUUUUAUCUAUGAGUGACAUUUCCAUAUACUUUAAUGUUAAGUAAUUGUCCAUUUCCA